rnacentral:rRNA from 1 species
AUAUUACUCCAUAGGUCACGAGAUCUGGAAAGACUUGUGGCUCAAAGUUCAGGCGCUCUAGGAUUGGUCUGCGGCCUAUCAGGUAGUAGUGGGUGUAGCGGACCCACUAGCCGAUGACGGGUAUGGGCCUUGAGAGAGGGAGCCCAGAGAUGGAUUCUGAGACACGAAUCCAGGCCCUACGGGGCGCAGCAGUCGCGAAAACUUCACAAUGGGCGCAAGCCCGAUGAGGGAACUCCUAGUGCUAGCACUUUUUGUGUUAGCUUUUCUUCAGCGUAGAUAACUGAGGGAAUAAGGGCUGGGUAAGACGGGUGCCAGCCGCCGCGGUAAUACCUGCAGCCCAAGUGGUGGUCGAUUUUAUUGAGUCUAAAACGUUCGUAGCCGGUCUGGUAAAUCCUUGGGUAAAUCGGAAAGCUUAACUUUCCGAAUUCCGAGGAGACUGCCAGACUUGGGACCGGGAGAGGCUAGAGGUACUUCUGGGGUAGGGGUAAAAUCCUGUAAUCCUAGAAGGACCACCGGUGGCGAAAGCGUCUAACUAGAACGGAUCCGACGGUGAGGGACGAAGCCCUGGGUUCGCAACGGGAUUAAAUACCCCCGGUAGUCAAGGGUGUAAACGCUGCCGACUUGGUGU